CAGCCGCCGCGGUAAUACCGGCGGCCCGAGUGGCGGUCACUAUUAUUGGGCUUAAAGCGUCCGUAGCCGGGUUGGGAAGUCCUCCGGGGAAUCUGGCCGCUUAACGGUCAGAAUGCCGGAGGAUACUCCCAGCCUAGGGAGCGGGAGAGGCCGAGGGUAUUCCCGGAGUAGGGGUGAAAUCCUAUAAUCCCGGGAGGACCACCGGUGGCGAAGGCGCUCGGCUGGAACGCGUCCGACGGUGAGGGACGAAGGCCAGGGGAGCAAACCGGAUUAGAUACCCGGGUAGUCCUGGCGGUAAACGAUGCGGACUUUGUGUCGGACAAGCUAUGAGCUUGUCCGGUGCCGGAGGGAAACCGUUAAGUCCGCCGCCUGGGGAGUACGGCCGCAAGGCUGAAACUUAAAGGAAUUGGCGGG
rnacentral:rRNA from 1 species